CGACUCAUCAAGUCAUGACUGAAUCAUGCUAGCUAGCGAGUUUCUGUGAAACCUGGCUUGGAAUCUCAUUGAACUGAGUCGACUCAACCCACCAAGUUUUAGUGGACUGCAUCUCUCCAUGAGUAUGAAAAUAUUUUCAUACAAAUGGAUACUCCAAGGUCUGUUGAUUUUUAUGGAUUUUCUCUUUGUUUCAUGUACAAUUCCUACAGUUUGGAAGAUUAAUUUGCUUUUUUUAAAUGUAAUUUUCGCGACUUCUCUUCUUACGAUUUUCAUUUGCAAUUCCUACGAUUUUUAUAAUGGAGAUCUUUUUCUUUUCUCAAGUUUGAUACUAGAUUUGUACGUCUCCAUCUUCAAGCAAAUUGAUGGGUUUGAAAUCAUGUGUUUAUUUGUCUGAUGGCCUCUACAGCCUGGUAUUAAUAUGUGAAUCUUGUUUUUUAAUAUUCUAAUGCACCAACUAAACUCAUCUACGGUAAGGCCUUUCUUUCUAUUUGUUCUUAGCAGGAUGGCGCCUGAGGUUAUGGAACAAUUUCACGAUUAUGAUUUCAAGUCAGCUGGCUACUUUCUAGUUCUGUUUCUUUGUCGUCAACAUAUAGCUUGAUUUCAGAUAUUGAUUUUUCUUGGACAAUGGUCUUGCAAGGCAGAUAUCUGAUCUUUUGGGAUUACUACCUUAGAGCUUGCCCAUUGGCAUGCCCCUUUCUCAAAGUAUCCUCCAAUGAAGGUUCUGCUUAACUAUGAAAGGGACAGGAAGUUCUCGAAGUCUUUCAAGCAAAUGAUUGCUAUGUGCUUGGUAAAAGACCCAUCAAAGCGACCAUCUGUGCAAAAGCUGUUAAAGCAUUCCUUUUUUAAGCAAGCUAGGUGCAAUGAUUACAUUGCUCGAAAAAUUUUAGAGGGGCUGCCUACUCUUGGUGAUUGCCUUAAAGCAUUGAAGAUCAAGGAAGAAGACAUGCUUGCAUAGAAGAAAAUGCCAGAUGGGAAGAAGGAAGAGAUAUCCCAGGUCUUGAAGCUAUACUGGCAAAUGGCACUGUGCUUGAUAUGCUUGGCAGUUUACGCAAAAGACAAUACAGGAUAUGAUUUGAAACAUCUUUU